rnacentral:rRNA from 1 species
CGGUGGAUGAUGUGGAUUAAUUCGAUGCAACGCGAAGAACCUUACCUACCCUUGACAUGUCCGGAACUUGCCAGAGAUGGCUUGGUGCCGAAAGGGAAUCGGAACACAGGUGCUGCAUGGCUGUCGUCAGCUCGUGUCGUGAGAUGUUGGGUUAAGUCCCGCAACGAGCGCAACCCUUAUCAUUAGUUGCUACGCAAGGGCACUCUAAUGAGACUGCCGGUGACAAACCGGAGGAAGGUGGGGAUGACGUCAAGUCCUCAUGGCCCUUAUGGGUAGGGCUUCACACGUCAUACAAUGGUCGGUACAGAGGGUUGCCAAGCCGCGAGGCGGAGCCAAUCCCACAAAGCCGAUCGUAGUCCGGAUUGUUCUCUGCAACUCGAGAGCAUGAAGUCGGAAUCGCUAGUAAUCGUGGAUCAGCAUGCCACGGUGAAUACGUUCCCGGGCCUU